AUUGAACGCUGGCGGCAUGCCUUACACAUGCAAGUCGAACGGCAGCGGACCUUCGGGUGCCGGCGAGUGGCGAACGGGUGAGUAAUAUAUCGGAACGUACCUUUCAGUGGGGGAUAACGUAGCGAAAGUUACGCUAAUACCGCAUAUUCUGUGAGCAGGAAAGCAGGGGAUCGCAAGACCUUGCGCUGAUUGAGCGGCCGAUAUCAGAUUAGCUAGUUGGUGAGGUAAAGGCUCACCAAGGCGACGAUCUGUAGCGGGUCUGAGAGGAUGAUCCGCCACACUGGAACUGAGACACGGUCCAGACUCCUACGGGAGGUAGCAGUGGGGAAUUUUGGACAAUGGGCGCAAGCCUGAUCCAGCCAUGCCGCGUGAGUGAAGAAGGCC
rnacentral:rRNA from 1 species